rnacentral:rRNA from 1 species
AGAGUUUGAUCAUGGCUCAGAGCGAACGCUGGCGGCGUGCUUAACACAUGCAAGUCGAGUGCGCGGUUGUAGCAAUACAACUGGCGCACGGCGCACGGGUGAGUAACACGUGGGCAACCUGCCCUCCAAUGGGGGAUACCCCCGCGAAAGCGGGACUAAUACCGCAUGACAUUCCGAGGACUUCGGUUUUCGGACUCAAAGGCCGUAAGGUCGUUGGAGGAGGGGCCCGCGCCCGAUUAGCUAGUUGGUGAGGUAACGGCUCACCAAGGCUAUGAUCGGUAGCCGGUCUGAGAGGAUGGCCGGCCACACUGGAACUGAGACACGGUCCAGACUCCUACGGGAGGCAGCAGUGGGGAAUCUUGCGCAAUGGGCGAAAGCCUGACGCAGCGACGCCCAUGGGGGGAUGAAGCUUCUCGGAGUGUAAACCCCUUUCGACCCGGACGAAACGCCCGUAAGGGCUUGACGGUACGGGUAUAAGAAGCCCCGGAUAACUACGUGCCAGCAGCCGCGGUAAGACGUGCCGGCCAGCGUUGCUCGGAAUUACUGGGCGUAAAGGGUUCGUAGGCGGUGCGGCAAGUCGGGAGUGAAAUCUCUGGGCUUAACCCAGAGGCUGCUUCCGAAACUGCCGUGCUAGAGUGCGGGAGAGGCGAGUGGAAUUGCAGGUGUAGCGGUGAAAUCGUAGAUAUCUGCAGGAACACCCGUGGCGAAGGCGGCUCGCUGGACCGCAACUGACGCUGAGGAACGAAAGCUGCCGAGCAAACAGGAUUAGAUACCCUGGUAGUCCUAGCCCUAAACCAUCAGGACUUGGGGUGCAUCCCGUUCGGGGUGCGUCCCGUAGCUAACGCGUUAAGUCCUGCGCCUGGGGAGUACGGUCCGCAAGGCUGAAACUCAAAGGAAUUGACGGGGGCCCGCACAAGCGGUGG